UGUUAAAGUGUUUAAAAGCAUAUACAUGUAUAUUUUACAUUAAGUUUAUUAAACUAAUUAUGAAAAGAAUGUGGUACAACAUGUGUUUAGUUUUUUUAUUGAUAUUUCAGAGUUUUUAUAUGUGAGGUAAUCUUGCUGGGAGUGAAGGCAGUGCGUAUGACCGUUUGAUAUGAAAGACACAUCCUGUUUUUAAAGGUGGAUCAUGAGUGAAGCUCUGCAGGUCUGCCAUUGGCUUGAUAACAGUGGUUUAUGUUAAUUGAGUGAAUUCAAUUUAUAAAUAAAUCUUUCACCAAGCAUUCACCUAUUUACUGACAAAACAGAUCCAAAUCUUGUUCAGCCUGAUGCUCAACCUUGUAUGAUGAUGACCACAGCCAGGUGAUGGAGAUCUGUGUUAAUCACAGCCUGCGUCUCAAGAUCAACAUGACAAUAGCAGACCAUUUCUUAUCUUACUCUUAUCUGACUAAAUGUUCAGCAUCAUUGCAACAAAACAAAGAACAUUAGAUGGA